UUUUUUUGUUUGCUUAAAGUUUAUUUUUAGAGACAAGGUCUCACUAUAUUACCCAGGCUGGCCUCGAACUCCUGACUCAGGCAAUUCUCCCACCUCAUCCUCCCAGGUAGGUGGGAGUCCAGGCAUAUGGCACCACACUGUGGCUCAGGAUAGGAGGUUUCUGAGCAGAGUACAGACAUGAUGGAAGCAGAGUAUAGGAGCAGAGAAUACUUCUUAUUGUUCUCUUAAUGUUUUAUGUGGGGGAUUUUGCCUCCACCAUCUUGAGCUUAUAUAGUUGUUUAAAAAAUCUUGACUGAUUUACACAACAGUGGAACUUAUUCCAUUUGAAGGUUUCGUUUUAUCCAAACAUUAGAGGAGGCUGAAGUCAUUCUGCAUACUACUCCACCAAGAGC
rnacentral:lncRNA from 10 species